rnacentral:lncRNA from 1 species
CCAACCAUACAUGGGAAUUGAGAGUUCUUGGACUUUUUGGAAAUGGGAGAACAAGAUCUUCAACUUUCAUGUUGGGCAAAAAUUCAUUUGAAGCUUGUAUCAGGAUGUAAGUCUAGGAUCAAGAAGUUUCCAUUUUUUGCAAAUUCCAAUUACAGGUCAAGUUUCUAUUUUUGGAAAUUUCUUGUCUGGCUUCAAAUUCUUCAAUGCUGAUGUUUGACAUGAUAUAUGAGGCCUAUUUGGACAUGGAUAAGCUCUCUCAAACCAAAU